UCGGGAAUUUUGGGCAAUGGGCGAAAGCCUGACCCAGCAACGCCGCGUGAAGGAUGAAGUAUUUCGGUAUGUAAACUUCGAAAGAAUAGGAAGAAUAAAUGACGGUACUAUUUAUAAGGUCCGGCUAACUACGUGCCAGCAGCCGCGGUAAUACGUAGGGACCAAGCGUUGUUCGGAUUUACUGGGCGUAAAGGGCGCGUAGGCGGCUCUGUAAGUCACUUGUGAAAUCUCUGAGCUUAACUCAGAACGGCCAAGUGAUACUGCAGAGCUAGAGUGUAGAAGGGGCAAUCGGAAUUCUUGGUGUAGCGGUGAAAUGCGUAGAUAUCAAGAGGAACACCUGAGGUGAAGACGGGUUGCUGGGCUGACACUGACGCUGAGGCGCGAAAGCCAGGGGAGCAAACGGGAUUAGAUACCCUAGUAGUCCCUGAGCGGGCUGGCAAGGCGCAU
rnacentral:rRNA from 1 species